rnacentral:rRNA from 1 species
CACUGACAUUAGAUACCCCUGUAGUCCCAGCCGUAAACUAUGCGCGUUAGGUGUACUGGUGACCACGAGUCACCGGGGUGCCGAAGGGAAACCGUGAAACGUGCCGCCUGGGAAGUACGGUCGCAAGGCUGAACUUAAGGAAUUGGCGGGGGAGCACCACGACCGGGUGGAGCCUGCGGUUUAAUUGGACUCAACGCCGGAAAUCUCACCGGAUAGGACAGACAUAUGAUAGUCGGGCUGAAGACUCUACUUGAUGAUCUG